AAAACUUUGUGCUGAUUGUCCUUUUUCCAAUAUUCAAAAUUGAGUGCUGCUAUUAUGUUUGUCUUUAUUCAAAUUCAUUCAAAUACUUUCAAAUUAAUUAAAAAAUGUCCACAUGCUUGACAAACGAAAUCAUUGAAUUGACUUCAUAGCAGGGUUUGGAACCGGUUCGGGGAACAGAACAGAAAAUCGCAAAAGAACGUAAUUUUUCAUGGAACAGAACCAUAACCGAGAAGAAAAGAACAUUAUUUUACGCUCCGGGGCAUUUUUUUCCAGUCCCAUAUAAAACACGCCUAUGCAAAGCCCUCACUUUGCCACUCAGAAACUUAUUCCAGUGUCUUUGCCAGUGUCUGUGAGUGUGUAUACUACCUUCCCCCCUCCCUCGGAAGAAUAGUCUACUGUAGCUACUGACGUUACAAGCAUGAUUCAGAACUUAGGGAGAGAUUUUUUAUUCGAGAAGAAUGAAUGAACUUUUUCAAUGCUAGCUACGAAUAACGUAAACUCACGUAAAAUCAUACAUCGCCUUGGUCCGUACAAUUGCUCUUAUUUUAGCGCCCCAAAAACGUAAUAUUUCCAGAUCAACUGUAAUGUCAAUACCAUUGUAAAGCACAAUUUCUCUCCUUUCCAACAAAAUCGAUUACAUGACCUAAACACUGCCCGUUUCUGCAUAAUUCAAGCAGGCAAUGAGCCAUGUCGGGUCUUUUUAAAAAUGGCGGGUGGGGAAGCGAAACUAAUGCGUGCUAGUGAGAAGGACAGAUGUCGUGUGGGAAAAUUGCUUUUUUCACUCGAUCUGUCCAACUUAUCACCUUAUCGCCUCUAAAAUGUAAAUAAAACACUAUAAAGAGUUUAUAUAAUGUGUCAUUACAUACCUAUUUGAAGGUUUGUGUCGAAUUUGAAUCGGGUUUUUAGGGUGGUGCUAAAGUGAUCUUAGAAGUAAACAGCGGCUUUGAGAAUGAUGAUCGCAUGCAAUGAUGACGAAAAAAAUGACUAGGUAUCCCCCCUUACCCCCGUCACUGUUUAUUUCUUGUUUUUAAACGAUGAGAGAAGUGCUACACCUGGUGGAGAGAGAUUGUAAGACAGAAAUAGUUGCUUUAUGCAACUACGUUACGACAUGACACGUCAAGAUGUAACGGAGGGUCCAUUUUUUUCAACUUUUCUCCAAUACUAUAGAGCCAUUACCAUGUCGAUCAACGCUUGAAUAGAAACCUAGUUCACACUCCCGAUUUUGAAGUCAACACAGUCGCUACAGUCCCAUUCGUUUUCUUUGUAGCCUCGUUUGAAUGUCGCGGUUACGCACAUUUGUACGGAAUGGGGUGAGUUUGCGUUACUAUAGUUAUUAAGUUUUACAUUCGAUUUAUUAACUACAAAAAGGUAAGACAUGUUUUUAUUUACAUUUUGGUGCCGCUCUGCACGCACAAGCUUGUUAACAAGCUAGCUCUGGUCUAUAGCUCUCAAGCUCUAGGUGGCAUUAUGUGUAAUAUAAUGGAACUGAGAGUCAUGAUCAAAGGCCAGCUUUGGUCCAACGUUAGUGAAGCCAACUCUCUGAAGUUCAGACAUUCAAAGUUCCUUCAUAGAAGCCGCUCCUUUGUAGGUAUAAUUCUGUGAGCCUAAUUCAGAUAAUGCACCUCAUAACAACAAGAUGCCCAGAGCACUCUCCUCACCCACAACAUUUCUGUUGCAUCUCGCUCCCUACUCUAGACUUGUCUGUCCAAUGCAUGUACAAACUCUGCGAUUUAAAAAGGAACGAUAUAAAACAUUCCUAAUUUUUGGUUCGAACCUGUUCAGAACUUUAUUUUGCAGGUCUGUUCAGAACAAAAUGAUUGGAAAAUAAUUUUGGUUCCAACCUCUGCUUUAUAGUGGUAGCCAUGUAAUAGACGACAGCAUGCCACAAAAACAGAACAGCUAUUAUGGCCUUCCCCAAGUUUGUUCUCCUUUGUUUAUUUCAAAUGAAUACCAACAUUUCCUGUUCGCUUUUCCAUUUUUUCUCAAUCAGGUUGAGAUAGGAGACGUGCCUGAUGUGGACGGUCCACAAGGAACGGACUUCAUGUCUGCUAGAGUAACAUCAAAUUCAACCCCUCAAAGAGAUUCACACCCUGAGUUUGCAGCUGACUAGUCCUCACCGGACAGCGGCAGGCACAAAGCCUUUAACCUCUGGCGUGAACGUUGCCCUGGCACCCUUAUGGACACUGCAUCAAGUAAUGCUGGUAUUUUGCUGACAUGAUGUACUAGCUAUUUAUGGAGAACUUGCAAGUUUUCAGUUGGGCCUACAUACAUAUUUUCAAAUAGUCCCUCUACAACUGCAGGGGAGGGUGCACGCAGAACAAAGCAACAGUUUCCUGUGAGUAUAUGUAUCUGUAGUCCUGCGUUUUCAGUUUAUUUUGUUGAUAUACCGUGACCUGUUGGUUACACUCGAGACCUAUCAACUUCAAUUUUCAGGACAGAAAAAUGUAAUUGUCCCCCAUGAUGAAAUUGGGUAGGGGACUAUGGAUCUGACUCCGUCCGUCUGUUGAUUGUUAGUACGUACGUCACACGCAAUAUUUCGGACACUAAUGGCCUGAUUUUGAACAAACUUUAAUGAAUGAUCCGUCUUUCCAUGGAGAUCCAGCGUUGGUUGGCCCAAGGGGGGUGCUGCAUCAUUUGUGCAGGAUGACAUAUUUACUGUUGCAUUUUUGUCAAAUGUAUCAUUUUUUUCAAUCAGGAUGAGAAACAGGAAGAAGGCCAAAUGGACACAACAGAGCAUACAUUGAUGGAAAAUAGUAUGGUCUUUGCUGAGGCUGCCAGUGAUCCUGCUGAUUCCAGUUUUGUGUCUUUCACCAGCCCCGCCGUCUCCAGCAAGGGAUCAACCUCUGACAGUGUGCCAGAAGAAACUGGAGGAUGGAGCGAAAGGAAAUGGAUUGCGAAUGAGUCUAAACUCAUGGAGCUUUUCCUAACAUGUCACCAAUGUGGAGCUGUCUUGACUGAUAGAAGAUGAACCACUUUGGGCAGCAAAAUCGAAGUAACAUGGAGUUGUUACAGUAGACACAGCAUGCAUGCGGAAUGGCAAGAAAUAACUUGCUUAUGCUGUACAUGGAUCCAUUCUUUUCACUGGUUCGACAUACAUGGAAUGUGCUGAUUGGGCCACACCGCUGAACCUUCAGAUGCCCAAUACAACAGCCUUCUAGGAAAUACAGAUAACAUGCUUCCAGUUAUUGAGCAUGCAUACCACGACUAGCAGACCACAGUCUCUCCGAGGCUGAUUGUAAAUGUGUGGUGAUGGACAGUCCUUGGUUCAGGUAAGAAUGUGGAAAUGUUCAGCCAAUGAAUUUUACUAGGUGGGCUACAUAACAGGCAGUACUAAUCAUCAAUUGUUUUUAUCCCCUAAGGCAGUGUUACUCACUAUUGUUUUGUAAGGGGGCCACUUUGGGUUGAGACAAUCAUUCAGAGGGCCGCACAGAUCUUUAAUUUGUUUUACUUUUACUUCCAAUAUUAGCAGAGCAAUAGAGCACACACAAUUGGCCCAGUGUCGUCCGAGUUUGGCCGGGGUAGGCCUUCAUUGUAAAUAAUAAUUUGUUCUUAACUGAAUUGCCUAGUUAAAUAAAGAAUAAAAUAAUCAGUAAACAAUUUUUUUUUUGCUGAAUUCAUUCUAAAUGUAUAGUAUGUUGUUGCAAUCCUUGUGAGGCAAUCCAGGUUUUGUUCAUUGUUGAAAAUGUUGCUUCACAUGAAUAAGUGCUGACAAAAAAUGAUGUCACCUUUUGCACACACUGCUUCAGAAGUGGAUACUCUGUUUCUGACAAAGGCUCUAGAAAUGGGUAACACCUGAUCUUAGUUCACCUUGCGAUGUGUAAUUUGCCUGCAGCUCCACUAUCUCUCUAUUCCAGCACGGUCAGGACAGAGGGCUGUGAUGACUGGGCUGUGAUGAUUGCCGGGGAUUCAAUGCCCUCGCAAUAAUAAUGUUCACCACAUGCACGACUUGCUGCAUCACAUUCUGUAAGUCAGUCUUUGAGUUUAGCCACAAGUGCUUCUUGAUGAAUGACACAAUGAAACGUAACAAAGGGAAUAUCCUCUCUCUUUCUCAUCAGGCCUUUGAGUCCCUUCUCCUUCCCUCACAUGUUUGGGGCGCUGUCAGUGCAAACAGAUUCCAGAUUUGACCAGUCAGUAUUAUUAUCAGUAAAAACAUGUAACAAGGGCUUUCAGAAUAUCCUCUCCUCAUGUUUGUCCCUGAAGGGGCAGUAAACAUAAAAGUUCCUCUCUGAACGACACGUUUUGCGUGAAGUGCACCCAAACACAUAAUUGGGCAAUGCCAGUUACAUCAGUGCCUUCGUCAAGCGCAAUACUAAAACACUGCACCAUGGAUAUGUUAGUAAUCAGUUGCUUACCGAUAUCCUCACUGAUGUCUUCUAUGUGUCUUGUUAUGGUAGAGUCUGUGAUUUGCAGUCCCUUUAUUUGCUUUAAAAUAGCUACCUUGGUUGUGAAAUCAGCAAACAAUAUUUUGUCUGAGGCCAAAAAACACUAUUUGACAAUCUCCAUGUCUGUGAAGGCCGCCUUGUUUCUCGUGAGUCUCAUAUGUUGCCUCUGUCGUUAUUUCGGACAACAGUGCUAGUUCUGUCCAUUAUUUGUUGUUGUCCUUUGCGCUGUCCUUUGAGUUGCGCUAUUUUGUUGUUUCUGAGUUUGCUUUGUGGCGGAUAUGUUUUGUCAAAGUGGGCAUGGUGUGACUGGAAAUGUCACUCUAAAUUUGCUGAUUUAAAACAAUUGACUGCCUUCUAGCAAAUAAGACAAAGUGAGCUAGUCCCAUCAUGCAGUACAAAAAACCACAUGUCUGUCCGUUUCUCUUGGAACUUUCUGUGUUCUUCUUGAAUUGACCACACCUCUUAGCCACCAGAGCCGCGUUUGCCAGGUUAGCUACGUUAGCUAGCUGCAUUUCCCCAGCCGCCAUCUUCCUGAUUUUCCUGGUUCUCGGGUGGUUGUUCGUUCAUACCUGUCACGUUGUUCUCCAGCUCUCCCCCUUCAUUUUCAUUGUCAAUAGAUUUACGUUUCUUUUUUGCAAUAAAUCGAUCCAUGUCGACCAGACUGCAAAAUUAGCUAGUAGCAAACUGAUAUGUGUAGGUCGCUGUAGCUGAGCAGGUAUGUUCUAUUUCGGUAUUUCUGUUAAACAGCUGCGCUACACUGCCAUCUAUCUGCCGUCCAGGGAACAAUAGAUAUAUUCAAUGAAGUGAUUCAGGCCUGCAUUAAACACAUUGAAUCGAAGUUGUAUCAUUGUUAUGUAUUAUGAAUGGAAAAUAGGUAAAUCACUGCAAAUUAAGGGAUGCGGCCCGUGAGCCACACAAUGAGUACCACUGCCCUAAGGUUAGAGGCCACACGGUCUCCUGCAAUGGAACCAGUAGGUUUCCAGAGGGGACUCGAACAUCUUAUUGAUAAGGGAAUAGAUGUAAAGGUGGUCACAACAGACAGAUCGUUCUCCAUUCGAAAGAUAAUGAGAGAGUCCUAUCCGGACAUUGAACAUCCAAUUUGAGACCAGGCAUACAUGUAAAGGUCAGUAGACUGUAAAGACAUCCACAGAUGACACAAUCUCUAUUGCACUCCACACUGCUCAGCGUUCAACAUCAUAGUGCCUUUCAAGCUCAUCACUAAGCUAAAGACCCUGGGAUUAAACACCUCCCUCUGCAACUGGAUCCUGAACUUCCUGACGGACUGCCCACAGGUGGUGAGGGUAGCCAACAACACAUCUCCCACACUGACCCUCAACACGGGGGCCCCUCAGGGGUACGUGCUUAGUCCUCCUGUACUCACUGUUCAUCCACGACUGAGUGGCCUCACACGACUCCAACACCAUUAUUAAGAUUGCAGACGACACGACAGUGGUAGGCCUGAUCACCCACAACAAUGAGAUGGCCUAAAGGAAGUUGAUCGUGGACUACAGGAAACAGAGGUCAGAGCACAUCCGCAUCGACGGGCUGUAGUGGAGCAGGUCAAGUUCCUCGGUGUCCAUAUCACUAAGGAAUUAUCAUGGCCCAACAAUUAUCAUGGCCCGACAACGCCGCCUUCCCCCUCAGAAGGCUGAAAAGUUUAGACAUGGGCCCUCAACUCCUCAAAAAGUUUUACAGUUGCACCAUUGAGAGCAGCUUGACUGGCUACAUCACAGUUUGGUAGGGCAACUGCUUGGCAUCUGACCGCAAGGCGCUACAUCACUGUGACCGAGCUCCCUGCCAUUCAGGACCUCUAUACCAGGCGGUGUCAGAGAAAGGCCCUAAAAAUUGACAAGCGGUACCGAUGCACCAAGUCUGGAACCAACAGGACCCUGAACAGCUUCUACCCCCAAGUCAUAAGACUGUUAAAUAGUUAAUCCAGGUAGCUAUUGGUUAACUAUCUGCAUUGACCCUUUUUUGUACUAACUCUUUUGACUCAUCACAUAUGCUGCUGCUACUGUUUAUCAUCUAUCCUGUUGCCUAUUCACUUUAUCCCCAUCUACAGUAUAUGUACAUAUCUACCUCAAUGUUGGGCUCCCGCAUAGUGCAGCGGUCUAAGGCACUGCAUCUCAGUGCCAGAGGCAUCACUACAGUCCCUGGUUUGAUUCCAGGCUGUAUCACAACCGGCCGUGAUUGGGAGUCCCAUAAGGAGACGCACAAUUGGCCCAGCAUUGUCUGGGUUUGGCCAGGAUAGCCCGUCAUUGUAAACAAGAAUUUGUUCUGAACUGACUUGCCUAGUUAAAUAAAGGUUAAAUAAAUACCUAAAUAAGUACCCCUGCACCUCAAUUACCUCGUACUCCUGCACAUCGACUCAGUACUGGUACCCAGUAUAUAUAGCCAAGUUAUCAUUAAUCAUUGUGUAUUUAUUCCUUGUGUUAUUUCUUUCUAUUGUUUCAAUUUUUUUCACUGCAUUGUUGGGAAGGGCCAAUAAGUAAGUAUUUCACUGUUAGUCUACACCUGUUGUUUAUGAAGCAUGUGACAAAUAAUCUAUUUAAAUUUUAUUUGACCUUAUACUGUGGGUGAAGAGUAUCUGCAAUCAUCUCUGGUGGAGUUGUAGCUUAUGUGGAGGAGUUAGAGGUAAAUACAUAAAUCAAUAGUGUAACUGUAGAAAAACAACCCCACUCAUGUCUCACUCCCCUCAGCUGGUCUCAGACCACUUUGAAGUGUUUGUGACAGUAUUACCCACCCCCCACUGGUGCCAAGAGGUCUAGGGCCAUAAAUCUGCCCUGUCUAUCAGGAGCCAACAAUCUUCUCACCCUGACAGCCACAUCUCCAUUUCCCAGAACGGUGUGCAGAUAUCAACAAUGCUUGUCUGUUGAACUCAUGCCUGUUUGUGAUCAAAUGUCAUUUUCAGGAGUUGAAGUGCAGGUUCAGGUCAAUGCUCCGUCACAAAUAAAUAAAAUAACAUGUGUGGGGUCUAUUGCUGGGAAGUGGACGGAGUGGAACACCACUGUUACCAUGGAGCGCUAACAGAGGACCAGCAGAGGAAGAAGAGGUAACUGCAGGAAGAUUCACCAACCUACAAAGCCCUGUACUCUCUGGUCAUGGACAAACGUCUGCCGAAUGAUCUCGAUCAGAUGGCACUGUUCAAGCACACAGGAACACUUGAGGUAUUUCACAGUUCUGUGUUGAAAUACUGCCAAAAGCGUCUCUACUUCAGACUACAGCUUGAAAGCCCGUACCCAGUUGACAGUUUUGGACCACAAUGAGAAUCAGAACCGGAAUAGAGAACAAGCCUCAACCAUUGCUGAUACAACAUUGUUUACCCUAAACAGUCAACGUUGGAUUGCCCGGCCAAUAUACCAGCCAACCAGGAAUGACCUGAUUGAGCGCGUCCUCAUGGACAAAUUAGUGAAAAAGCGGGAGCCAAAAUCCUGUGGAAGCGGCUGUCGUCUGGCUGCCAACAGCCCCCAUCCCAAACCCCGGCAAGGAGGAGGUUACUGCAGCACACACAUCAAGACUCAAGGACAUUGGGGGCUUUUCUGACCCCCCCCAACCUAAUAUGAAUACACUCCAUUGUAAUAUAAUUUGUUUGCAUCUUAUCCUUAACAUUCUGCAUCUAUAGCAUUUUAUACAAAUCCAUCUAAUGUAGGCAACUACUGCAAAUAAAAGCACUGCCAUACCUACUUCAUACUGUCUAUUUUAAAUUUCGUUGAUGUGAAUUUUGAGAAUGCCUUGUCUAUACUGUGUAUUGCCUGUUGUUUUAUUUAACCAGGCAAAUCAGUUAAGAACAAAUUCUUAUUUACAAUGACGGCCUAUCCCGGCUCAUCGAUUGUCAUGUCAUUUACAUAGGUAUACACUGUGAUUUGUUGGGUGUUACCAAUUUACCUUCCGUAUUAAAAUGUUACUGAUACAAUUCUUUGAUCUGACUGCUUUAUUUC